AUUGAACGCUAGCGGGAUGCUUUACACAUGCAAGUCGAACGGAGUGGCGGACGGGUGAGUAAUAUAUGGGACCGUGCCCAGUAGCGGGGGAUAACUACUCGAAAGAGUGGCUAAUCCCGCAUACUAUUGGAGCGGCCGAUAGCGGAUUAGCUAGUUGGUGGGGUAAAGGCUCACCACGGCAACGAUCCGUAGCUGGUUUGAGAGGACGACCGGCUACACGGGGACUGAGGCACGGCGCCGACUCCUACGGGAGGCAGCAGUGGGGAAUUGUGGACAAUGGGGGAAACCCUGAACGAGCCAUGCCGCGUGUAUGAUGAAGGCCUGCGGGUUGUAAAGUACUUUUGGCAGAGAGGCGGUAGCUGCAGAAGAAGCACCGGCUAACUACGUGCCGGCAGCCGCGGUAAUAC
rnacentral:rRNA from 1 species